AGUGAACGCGGGCGGCGUGCUAAUACAUGCAAGUCGAACGGAAUUUAAAAGAGCUUGCUCUUUUAAAUUUAGUGGCGCACGGGUGAGUAAUAUAUAGCUAAUCUGCCCCUUGCUGGAGGACAACAGUUAGAAAUGACUGCUAAUACUCCAUACUCCUUUUUACCAUAAGAUAAAUCGGGAAAGAAUUUCGGCAAGGGAUGAGACUAUAUCGUAUCAGCUAGUCGGUGGGGUAACGGCCUACCGAGGCUAUGACGCGUAACUGGUCUGAGAGGAUGAUCAGUCACAUUGGAACUGAGACACGGUCCAAACUCCUACGGGAGGCAGCAGUAGGGAAUAUUGCGCAAUGGGGGAAACCCUGACGCAGCAACGCCGCGUGGAGGAUGACACUUUUCGGAGCGUAAACUCCUUUUGUUAGGGAAGAAUAAUGACGGACCUAACGAAUAAGCACC
rnacentral:rRNA from 1 species